ensembl:lncRNA novel transcript
GGGAGCUCGGUUGUUGGAAACGUGAGUCUUGCCGAAGCUCCCAGCUGAAUAAAGCCCUUCCUUCUUUAACUCGGUGUCUGAGGGAUUUUGUCUGUGGCUUCUCCUGCUACAUUUCUUGGUUCCCUGACCAGGAAGCGAGGUGAUUAACAGAUGGUCAAGGCAGCCCCUUAGGCAGCUUAGGCCUGCCCUGUGGAGCAUCCCUGAGGGGGACUCUGGCCAGCUUGAGCAACAUGGAUCCUGAGAGCGCUCCUGGGUAGGCAAUUGCCCCAGUGGAACACCUUGCCAGAGGAGCACGUGGCAGGCCCCCAUGGAGGAUCAACGCAGUGGCUGAACACCGGGAAGGAACUGGCACUUGGAGUCCAGACAUCUAAAACUUGGUACCACCCCUAGAAUUUCCAGUAAACCAGCACCAGCCUGAAGAUCACCUUCUAAUCAGAGGGUGGAAAGAAGAAAAACUCAUGCCAGCCUAGGAAGGACCCUACCUUGUGCUGCUAACCACCAAGACUGCUGUUCAUACAGUGGAAAAAGGAUGGACUCACCACACUUAAGUCAAAGCGCCACCCCCUCCAGAGUCAUGGGCCACAGUCCCAGGGGAAAACCCUACCAAACUAAAGCUAAGAAAAAUCUCUCUCUUUCACCUAUUCUAUUACUCUUUCUUCUUUCCUCGCUCUAUUGCUGACCAUCUGGUUAUUAACAUAACCAAGUCAAUUUCGCCUCAAACUAUUGCAUUUAAUACUUGCCUUGUUAUACCCUGUGGGGACCUGCCAAGUCGAAGACAGCUCUCUACUUCAGAAAAGUACCUCUGUCCCUCCUGACUCUCCUCAGACUGGGCAUUAGUAAAUUAGGACCAUUUAAUCCAGGGAAAUUUUGAUAAAGACUCCAGUGUCAACCAGGAGUCUUGUUGCCCAAUGUAGAGCUUUUAUGCCAUAGUUGGUCCAACAUUCUGUGGACUGCUAAAGAGCAAGGAUGGACUGCCCCAACCAGUUUCUGUAAUUUCCCAAACAUACAUUCAUUUUACUAGAGGAUCAUAGAAGUUAAAAACUUAAAACAAACUUUGGCAAUUAAGACAGCAUACCAAGAUGCAAACGCCUGGUUGGAAUGGAUCAAAUAUGCCAUCCGCACGUUAAACAAAAGCAGUUGUUAUGCUUGUGCACAUGGCAGGCCAGAGGCCCAGAUUGUCCCCUUUCCACUAAGGUGGUCCUCCAGUCUACCAGGUGUGGGCUGCAUGGUAGCUCUUUUCCAGGAUUCUACAGCCUGGAGUAAUAAGUCGUGCCAAGCUAUCUCUGCUAUAUCCCAAAGUCAGGCACCCUGCGGGUCAUGACAGGGAGGAAACUUUGCAUUUCUUGGAGCCCUGAAAGGAUGCAGUCAGCUUAAAAAUUUUCAAGAGCUUAUCAAUCAGUCAGCCCUUGUUUAUUCCCUAGCGGAUGUGAGGUCGUAUUGUGGUGGACCUUUACUGGGCACUCUGCUGAAUAACUGGAGUGGCACUUGUACUUUAGUCCAAUUGGCUAUCCCUUUCACCCUGGCAUUUCAUCAACCAGAGGGAGGGAAAAUAAGACAUUGGAAAGAGAGAGAAGCCCCUUAUAGGUCUUUCGACUAUACGUCCAUUUAGACGUAAUUGGAGUCCCACGGGGAAUACCAGAUCAAUUUAAAGCUUGAAAUCAAAUAGCUGCAAGAUUUGAGUCAAUAUUUUGGUGGGUGACAGUUAACAAAAAUGUAAAGUAGAUGAACUACAUCUAUUACAACCAACAGCAACGAGCUUUUCAUGAGUUAAAAGAAAAACUCAUGUUGGCCCCAGCCCUGGGGAUACCCGACCUGACAAAACCCCUUACACCCUGUGUGUCAGAAAGAGAAAAAAUGGCAGUUGGAGUUUUAACCCAGACUGUAGGUCCCUGGCCAAGGCCAGUGGUCUAUCUCUGAAAACAACUAGACAGUGUUUCCCAAGGCUGGCCCCCAUGUCUAAGGGCCCUGGCAACAAUGGCCCUGUUAGCACAAGAAGCAGAUAAACUAACCCUUGGGCAAAACCUGAAUAUAAAGGCCCCCCAUGCUGUGGUAACUUUAAUGACUACCAAAGGGCAUCAUUGGUUAACAAAUGCUAGAUUAACCAAGUACCAAAGCUUGCUAUGUGAAAAUCCCCGCAUAACCACUGAAGUUUGCAACACCCUAAACCCUACCACCUUGCUCCCGGUAUCAGAGAGCCCAGUUGAACAUAACUGUGUAGAAGUGUUGGACUCAGUUUAUUCUAGCAGGCCAACCUCUGAAACCAUCCUUGAACAUCAGUAGACUGUGAGCAGUACGUGGAUGGGAGUAGCUGCGCCAGCCCCUGCAAAGUGACUCUGAAGAAGACAACAAGCUCUGCUCCAGUCACGCUUGGAAGCUGACUGGUCCACACACGGCCGAAGCAUGAGAAAACUCAUCGUGGGACUCAUUUUCCUUAAAAUUUAGACUUGUACAGUAAGGACUUUAACUGACUUUCCUAAGACUGAGGACUGUUCCCAGUGUAUGCAUCAAGUCACAGAGGUAGGACAAAAAGUUGCUACAGUCCUAUUAUUUUAUGAUUAUUGUAAGUGUACUGGGACUCUUUAAAAAAAAAACUUGUUUGUAUAAUGCUAUUCUAUGCAAGGUAUGUAGCCCAGGAAAUGACCAACCUGAUGUGUGUUAUGACCCAUCUGAGCCUCCCAUGACCACAGUUUUUGAAAUAAGAUUAAGGACUGAGGACUAGUGGGGGCUCAUAAAUGAUACAAGUAAAGUGUUAGCCAAAACAAAAGAAAAAAGGGUGCCCAAACAAGUCACCUUGAAGUUUGAUGCCUGUGCUGUCAUUAACAGUAAUAAAUUACAAAUAGAAUGUGGUUCUCUUAAUUAGGAAAGAGGCUAUAUGGCAGAAAAUAAGUACAUUUGUCAUGAAUUAGGACUGUGUGGAAAUGAAUGUGGAUACUGGUCUUGUGUCACUUAGGCUACUUGGAAAAAAAAUAAAAAGAUCCUGUCCACCUUCAGAAAAGAAGAA